rnacentral:lncRNA from 1 species
CAUCUUAAAAUUCUGUGCCAGGGCAGAUAUGUAAUGUUAUAUUCAAAGAACAAAUACUACCUAGUAUCAUCAGUAAACUUACAGAAUUUACUUGGUAUGUUUAUUUGUAACACCCUGAAAAUGGGUACGGAGACAUCACAUGGUUCUUAGGGUAACAAGUGACCCCAAGCUAACCCUUCUACUGGCAUACUUAUAAGCAACUAAAUUAAAUAGAUAAAUCUUAACAAAAUCAGCGAAAACAAUAAAUCUUCUCUGAACUUGAUCAAUUAAAAAUCUAAGUUUACAAGAUUACAACUCUGCUUAUAUGAACAAAACUGAAAUAGAAUACAACGACACUACUAACUAUCUAUGAAGCCUCUACAAAUACUGACUAUAGAUAGCCGGGUCAUGACUCCCAACUACCCUAACUCAAUAUGAUUGAAUAAAGAAAAUACAAUUCUCUCAAACUGUAUAACUGGCUCGAUCCCUUGAAACAAAAGAAAUCAUCACCUGCUGACUGGAAGCUGCAUACUUGACUGAAUAGAGUGUAUGCGCUACCACUUGUACCUAUAUUAUGAGACAAUGUAGCACACAGACAUACAUGUGGAUCUUUACUUUGAGGAUGUACUGGGUAUAUGGGGGUGCAAUGCAUAAAUAAAAUAUUAUCUUAUUAUUAUAACUUAUAAAACAAUACAUGCUAAAUAUAAAUGACUCACAUAAAGCUGGAAUGUCUAAAAUACUGAAAUCUGAAAUCAUGCAUAGCAAGUCAAACUUUAUAAUCUAGUGAGUCAUAAUAUUUAGUACUGAAAGCUAAACUUGUAUUCUCUCUUUAAAUCUUGUUAUCUAAGUGUAAGAAGAACUCACUCUUAAAUCUGAAAUCUGAAAUCUAAUGUCUUUCUGUAAAGUAUAAUAUGAUUAAAACUUGUGAGCCUUCACUCUUAGUUUUUAAAGAGCUUUUCUAUCAUUCUUUUUCUUUUGGAACUUAAGAGCUUAGAACCUGCAGAGACUUUUGAAACUUGUGACUUAGGGACUUUGAUACUUAGAACUUUAGGAGUCUUAAAACCAAAACUCUCGAAACAUAUACUUUUAUCUCAAGGGGAAUAGGAAACUUCUUUAAAAUUUUAGGGACUCAAGGACUUAGAAUCAUGGAACUUUGGGAAACUUUGACACUUAGAGACUUUGGAUUACUAUGGGAAACUUGGGAAUCUUAAAACUAUGAUUUUCAAAACAUAAGAUUUUUGUGUUAAGACUUUGGGUCAAUAAACUGCUUCUUUUUCUUAAAGGACAUCUUUUGGGAGCUUCUUCUAACCGAUAUAAAACAUUUGAGAUGACAUGGAGUCGAACGCCUUGCCCACAUUGGGGAGAGUUGUUCUACCCUUUCCAUCGGAAUAGAACCUUAACUUUGAUCACUCUCUCAGCCUCGAACCCAUAAAUCUGAAUCCUACAUUGACACAUAGUUCUGAGGCAUGAUACAUUAGAUUUAUACCCAAAUCCGUGCUAAAUACUACUCUCAUACUUAGGCUUAGAACUUUUAGGAAAUUCACCUUAAAAUAACUCAAGAAUGUAUAAUGAAAGGCAAUGUAUGCCUCUCUUUACUUUAAAACAUAAAUAGUGUGGAUUCCUAUCUUAGCUUAAUAUCAAAACAUCAAUCUUGUUUCAAAUAUUGGUAAGCAAUUUGUUAGAGGAAAGCUUAAGAUCAUAAUAUUCUUAAAAUUCAAACUCAUUCUUUAUAUGGAUAUAAUAAUUCAAAACUUUCAAGAAUAUGGUAUUAAAAUCUUAAUACGCUACUUGAAAAUACUUCAACACCAUCAAAAUAAUAAGAUCAAGAAUCUCAAUAUCAUACUUAAACUCACUUUCAAAAAUCUGAAAAAUUGCGUUACGCGCAUAAAUAAAUGAAAAUAGUGAUGCAAUUCAAUAUUCAAUCACUUGUAAACUCACAAUCUUCAAACAAUAUAAAUUAAGUAUAAACCCUGACUUCAAUUUUAUGGAAAAUCACAUAAAAUGCAGUAAUUUAUAAGUUAAAAUAAGUUUUGAGCAUAAGGAAGAAAGGAUUGUCCUUGUUGAAACCCCACAUACCUUAAUUAAUUAUCUUAUAUGAGAAAGCUUGAAUCUUCAAUUCCUACGAUGAAUUGAAUAUUAAAGUUUGAACUCUGAACCGUUUGGAGAUGAUCUUGAAAACAUUCUUGAAGUUCUUGGAUUAAGAACCUUAAAUUCUUGAUCUUUUUGUUGAAAAGAAGAUGAUGGAAUUGAUGAUACUUGAUAGAAUUGAUUAGGGUUGUUCUUGAGGGAAAAAUUAGAGGAUGGGGGCAAUUAAUGGCCCAAUUGAAGCCUUAGAUCGUGUUAUUAUGACCUGAGUUGAGGUGGGAAAAGACCCCAUUGUCCCUCCUUAAUUUAAAACAAAAAUCUGGAACCCAUAUUGCCAUUUGAAGGGCUACUGCGACGCGGUGCAAUCACAGUGAGUUACUGCCUCAUACGAAAAAUGUCAUAACUUUUAACUCGGGUAACGGAUUCUGGAAAAUUUUUUAUCGUUGGAAAUCUAACUCAAUUAUCUAUGAUUUGGUAGGUCUUGAGCUGAAAAAAUCUAUAUAUAUAAAGAAUUAUACACUUUCAAAGUUGACCCUUGUAGAAUCGAUUAUCAAACAUUGGACCAAUUAAGGGAUCUUAGCUAAACUUGGCUAGAAGUGAUUUCUAGGAACAUUUUUCACCCAAGAAGAAUUUCAUACACUAGGAUAAAGUUACUGAAACAUGCUCUUCAAUUUAUAGAUCAAGGACAUGGCAAAUAUGCCUUCACGCAAUGCGGUGAUCCCGCCAUCGCUAUACUCCGCGAUGUGGUGAUUGGUUGAAUGGCACACUGUCAACACUAAUAGGCCAUAACUUCUCAAUCGUGUAUCGAAUUUGGGCGAAUUUGGUAUUGAUGGAAAUCUUAUUCAAUUUUUCAUAAAAUGGAAGGUCUAAAUCUUGAAAAUUCCAUAUGAAAUAAAUGUUAUUCAUUCUUGAAGAUAAUAUUUGGCAUUCUACGGAUGAAAUUAAGCUAGAAAAUAUGUGGGGUAUUACAUUAUUAUAAUAAAAUUAUUAUUUUAGUAGUUUCUACAACAUUGUAGGUAUAAAUUCCUAGACUUGAUUUAUGUGUUUAUGAUGAAUAAAGACCCCUUACAAGCAAUCCUUAAAUCAAUAUACUUACUUCACACAAUCUCUCUAUAAGGAUACAGAUGCAAAGAAAUAAGAUAAAGGUCCCUCAAAUUAUUAAACUUAUUUGAGACUGUCCGUCGGUGAGGAGAAAGACUGAAGCAAUUAAGAUAAAGAUAUAAAUCUAAGAAAUAUAACAAUAAUAACAACAACAUACCCAGUAUAUUUUAUGAAUUUAUUAAGGUAUAUUUAGUUUUUCCUCCUUGUAGAAAGUACAACUUAAUGUAACUACAACUAUAAUUAAAAUAUAUCAAGUAACACUAAUUUCUAGUAAAAAUAUUUCAACACAAAAUAUUUAGGCUUUUAAUAAAAUCAAGUCAAGAAAAAACUAAAAUAUGGUUGAUAUUAAAAUAUUAUAUCAUGUUUCUUCAUAGAUCCCAACCCAAAGAGAUCAUUCCAAUAUAUAGUUAGAAAAGUAUAAAUUUGACAAACUAGAUAUAUUGAAAAGAUUUGAAGAAAUAUUAAUAUUACAAGAGACCAACACUUUUUUUUAUAAUUGUUGGAUGAUUAAAAAUCAAAUAAAUGCCUCUAUUUAUAGAAAAUUAUAGUGUUACCCCAACAAAUGCAUCCUUUGAAGUGGUGGUUAUAAGUGUCAGCUUGUAACUUUGGCUCAACUCUUCCGCUUAACAGAUGUGAGUAUGAAGUGAUUAUUCACACCCAUGAGAUUUUCAACUUCUUCCAAAAAUUUCCAUGGUAGUGUCAAUGAAAUUGUGAUUAUACCCAUGGAAUUUCUCUUAUCUCUUUAAUAAUUUGUUUCUUCUUUAGUCUUCCUUUGUAUUCUUCUUCCCGUAGAAUUUUUUAGAAAAUAUGCAAAAAUAAGAUAUAAUUAUUCAUGUUUUUUUAAAAUAUACAAUUCCUUAUAUAUUAAAUUAUAUAAAUAAUUUAUAUCCAUCAGUUAUUUUUGCACUUAAGAUAUGUAGACUUUACUUGUAUGGAUUGCAUUGCAAGAUAUUUACUCACCAUCAUAGCCUACAAUACAUUCUUGACUAGAAGGAUCUUAAUCUAAAGCAGUGUAGAUGGCUGGAGUUACUAACAAAAUACAACAUCUUUAAUUUGUACCAUUUAUGAUAGGAAAAUAUGGUAGCAUAUGCUUGAUCCAAAUAUACCCAUAGUCUCUUUAUUACAUUUAUUCCAUAAUUUUAUUUAUUUCUCUUGAUAGUCUUUCUACUAUCCAUUUUGAACUACAAGUAGGCUUACAUAUUGGUGGGUUAUAAUAGGUGUCAUAAUGUCUUGAGAAAUUGGGUUGUGACAAAAAAAACUUAUUCGUAAGUAGAUGUAUCUCAAUCCCCGACAACGGUGUCAUAAAUUUGGCUAGUCCAAUGUGUGUAAGAUUUUAUUGCUCAUACUCUAUAAGAUAUCGUCCCCAGAGAUUGAAAUACCUAUGUUACAAACUUAUAAUAUUUUGACUACUAUUUAAGAAACAAAUUGAUGAAAGGAGAGUAACUAAAUUUGUAAAAUAAAUAUGUAAAGAAAUAGCAUUCAUGAGAUUACCUUGAAGAAGGAAUUGGGGGUUGUUGAAUUUACUUGUUAUGUAUAUUGUAAUAAAAUCAUUAUUUUAGUGAUUUCUACAAAACUAUAGGUAUAACUUCCUAGACUUUAUUUGUGUGUUUAUUACAAAUAAAGACCCCUGUGAGUAAUCUUUAAAUCAAUAAACUUACUUGAGGCAAUUUCACAACAGAGAUACAGAUUGGAUGUAAUAACAAAGAGGUCCCUUAAAUCAUUAAACUUAUUCGAGACUGUCCUUCUAUGAGGAUAAGGACCAAAGUAAUUAAUAUAAAGAUAUAAAUUCAAGAAAUAUCUUGAACUAAUCCUUCCGUGAGGAUAAGGAUCAAAACAAAUGAAUUCAAAGAUUUGAAAAAACGAGUGACUUAAAAUUAUUAUUACUUAUACAUUAUUAAUUAAUUAUAGUAUAUUUAGUUUUUCUCCUUGUAGGAAAUACAACUUAAUUUAACUAUAACUAUUAUAUAAAAUAUAUCAAGUAUUGCUAAUUUCUAGUAAAAGUAUUUCACCACGAAAUGUUUAACAUUUAUACAAAAUCAAGUUAACAAAGAGUUAAAAUAUGCUUGAUAUUAUAAUAUUAAUCAAAGUUUCUUCAAUGAUCGCAAUAUAAAGAGAUAAUGCCAACAUGUAGUUAGAAAAGUAUAAAUUUAAGAAACUAGAUGUAUUGAAAAGACAAUUGAAGAAACUAGAUGUAUUGAAAGGACUUGAAGAAAUACUGCUAUUAAAAGAGACCAAUAAUUCGUUUUUGCUAAUUGGUGGAUGAUUAAUAAUCAAAGAAAUGCCUCUAUUUAUAGAAAAUUAUAGUGUUGCCCCAAUGAAUAGAUCCUUUGAAGUGGUGGUUAUAACUGUCAACUUAUAACUUUCUCUCAGUUAUUCCACUUGACAAGUGUGUAUGUGAAGUGAUGAUUCACGCCCAUGAGCUUUUCAACUUCUUCAAAAGAGUUGUGCAAAUGAAAUUGUGAUUGCACCCAUGGAAUUUCUCAUAUCUUUUUAAUAAUUUGUUUCUUCUUUAGUCUUUCUUUGUAUUCUUUGUUAUACCCCAUUUUAACACGAGGUCAAAAUAGUGUACAAAAUAUUGAAAAACUUCUAAUUAAAUUAAGGAAAUCGCCACCUAAUUAGUUCUAUGGUUAAUUACGACACUUAUUAUAAUCUAAGUGAUCUAAAAAAAAUAAAAACUUCAUUUUAGGUCUACGCAACUUAAGUGAUUCUAAGUAAGGUUUCUAAUUAUACUAAAGGGAAGGUAUUAGGCACCCAAAAGGAUUCGCUAACUACGGUUAACCAGCCAAACUUAAGUUAGAAAUAAAAAAGAAACAUUUUUUACAUGUUUUAAAGAAAGAAUUUAUUUUUUAUUUAUCAUAGAAAAUGAGGAAAAGAAAAAGGUAGCAAGUUAGACAAAGUGGGCAUGAGAAUAAAAUUGGAAUAAGACGAGAGCAUAUGCCACGUUUAAAAAAUUUAGAAGAAGAUGAGUAAUUAGAAAAAACAUUUAAUACCUUAUUAUUAACAAAUAUAGUUCUAAAAAAGGUGAAUGAGAGGAGUUUCAAUUAUGGAAUGUUGGUUUUAUUGUUUCUCGAGAAUGCAUUUUUGAAAGCUCUUUGUGUUUUCUAUUAUUGAAACAUCUUCAUUCUUUUUUUAAAAAAAAUGAUUAAAGGUUAAGAAUUAAAAUAUGCAAUUUUAAAUUUUUUAAACAAUCUCAAAAUUUGUAUUUUGAAAGAUUACAACUUUGCACCUUAUAACCUCUUUAAAAGUUGUUUUUGCUAAAGAAGGUUAUGUUUUACUCAAAGCUUAAUUCCGCGUUUAAAGAAAUAACGUCAAAACUUAAAUGUCAUUUGCCAACACCAAAAACUAAAAUUGUUCUAUCAUUAGGAAUUUUACUAUUUGAUUUAAGAAAAUGAGUCACUCACAUUAAUGAAAUACUUUUAAAGGGAACAAGGGAUGAUCGAAAGAUUAAGGAAAAAUCAAAAUUGAAUUAUUUUCAUUCCUUUUUUUGAUGAAAAAAAAAGUCAUUUCUGAUGAAAAAGAAAAUUACAUACGUAAAUAUUGCUUCUUCAAAAUUUCAAAUAUACUCUAGACAAAAAACACCAUUGAAUAUAGGAGAAAAGCUGGCGACAUGCAUCCUAACUAUAUUACCGCAAAUUAUUGAUUCUAAAAUUAAGUGUUUUAGGCCUAAUUCCCUAUUAAAAUAACCAAGGAAAGUUAAAGUAAGAACACAAAUAAAUAAUUAAAUAAAUAAAUAACACAACAUAAGUCAUAAUAGAAUCAGUAACGAGUAAAGAAUGGAGAAUGAGAUGUCUAUUUCGUCCACUAUUUAUGUAUAGUGCAAGGGAGUUUAAGUGGACUAGAAAGAGAUAUGAGUUAGAUCCAUAACUGGGAAAUUCUGAUUGCGAUGUCGAGUCUCAUCAUGAGACUCUUUGACUCCGAUGUUCAUGCACUCAAAGAAAAUAACGAAAAAGAAUUAGAACCGAGGCAAAUUUAAUAUGAAAAAUUAACUACACAUGGUAAAGUAAAUGACAGUGUGUGGGAAUCCAAUGAGACGCAAAGAGAAACUAUAAAACGAGACUCUUGAUUUCAAACAACAAACUAAUCAUUAGAGAGCCCGAAAAAACACUCUCGGCUAGUACACACAAUUCACACUAGAGAAAGUUUAACAUAUUUAUAAACCAAAACUCUCACAAAAAUGGAAACAUAAUCAUUACUUAUAAGAGUUCUGAAUGAGUGGAAAGACAAUGAAAUCCUCAUGACGUAGCUUUUACAGCAGGUAGGUGAACCUUUUAACCAAGAAAAUAGAAUGUGCUAAUAAAUAAGAAAAUUAUAAUACACAAUAUUUUUAGAGAUAAAUUGUCUAACAUGAUUUUUACUGUAUGUAAGGUUUUAAAACAUGCUUCAAAGGGCUAUUUCUAUUGUCCAAAGAGAUUCCAGCUCAUGCUUCACAAUCAAUGAUUAUAUUGAAACAAAACUGCACACCCGAACCAUGAUAGAAAGUAAAUAAAGCAAUUGAAGGCAGUGGCUAUUUCAUCGUAUCUAAUAGCAGGAUCAAAACGACUAUGUAAUACAAGUAUAACGCAGAAACAACACAAAGAAAAAAGAGAAUAGUAGUGACCUGUUUUGGGAUAGAGAACUACAAAAUCUUUCUAUCACGAAUAUACACCCGAACACUAAUGAUUCAAAACUUUAAACAAACUCUGAUUCAAAAUUUGCAAGAAAACCAAAGAGAUUGGGAGAAUCUAGUGCUUAGUGAACUUUAAGAGGAGAUAUAUGGAGGUUUCUGAAAAUAUUUAUGUGGAGGGGAUGUGCGGCCAAAAACCUUCUUCAAAUGAAUCCCAGACAUAAAUAUUCAUAGGGAAACAUUAGACCUUCGAGUUUUAGGUGGGAUCUUGAAUUUUUGAUUUUGAAUUCAAAUCAACCAUGACAUUUAGUGUUGGUAGCCGUGAAUUUUGAUGGGUUUGCUCCCUCACGUGGUUGAUAUGGCCAUCACACAAGAAUGGAAAAACAAAAUAUAUCCAUGGAGAAAAGAGUCUUCCAAUUUGCUUGAAGAGGAAAAAAACAUUCGGACCAUCUGGAAG